rnacentral:rRNA from 1 species
AGGAUGAACGCUAGCGGCAGGCCUAAUACAUGCAAGUCGAACGAUACCUUCGACCUUCGGGUUGGGGGGAAAGUGGCGCACGGGUGCGUAACGCGUAUGCAACCUACCUUAAUCGAGGGGGAUAGCCUCUCGAAAGAGAGAUUAACACCGCAUAAAAUCACAGUCCGGCAUCGGAUCAUGAUCAAAUAUUUAUAGGAUUAAGAUGGGCAUGCGUGACAUUAGUUAGUUGGUGAGGUAACGGCUCACCAAGACCACGAUGUCUAGGGGAUCUGAGAGGAUCGACCCCCCCACACUGGUACUGAGACACGGACCAGACUCCUACGGGAGCAGCAGUAAAGGAUAUUGGUCAAGUGGGGGCAACCUGAACCAGCCAUGCCGCGUGCAGGAAGACGGCCCUACGGGUUAGUAAACUGACUUUUAGUAACGGAACUAACCCCCCCCGAUCCGUAGAGUCGGGGUUGAAUGUACUAGUAAAGAAAUAAGGAUCGGACUAACUCCGUGACCAGCACGCCGACGGUAACUC